ensembl:lncRNA
GGCGGAGAGGUAAUAAAGUCUGUCGGCACGAGGACCUUGGAUUUAUUAAGUAAAGCGGCAACGGUUAUACAGAGUCAUAAGCGUGAGAAAUCGAAUAUGUCUAAGUCCCUAAUCAGCGCUGAUGGUUCGUCCGGAGCUUCGCCUCCGUGGAAGGUGAAGAGUCCCUGUGUGAUACAGUUUUAUGCUGUAUCCUCCUCUCGAUGAGGUGUGUGCGUUUGAGGUGUGUGUGGUUCUGUGUGUUUUUGCUUGGCCUUGGCUCCCAGGCCCUGCUGUGUAUGCCUCCUAACGGGGGAGAGCUCCUCGUGUCUCCGGUGUGAUAAUUUAAUGUGGCUCUCCCGUUCUUGAGGAUGACUGGUGCAUUGUCUGAGUGUCCACCAUCUGCCAGCCUGGGAAAUGGGGCCUUCGGCUCCGGCCUUGACCUGACUAUAUAUUAUCAUGUUUGCGUUCGUUGAGUUAGAGCAAGAGUUGACUAUAUUGUAAUGUGUCUGCCAUGUGAUGUGCU